GGCGACCGGACUCACAGGUAGAAUCCAUAGCCGAAAACGCCGCAAUAUCCUCUGGCUACCAGAGGAUAGCAGCAGCCUAUCGAAGCGGAAUCCGAGCUUGAAUUCGGUGCAGUUGAUUGUAGAGCUGGUCUUGAUGUCCUGAACAUCAGGUUUUGCGACCCCCAGUCGAUCGAGGUCCAUCAGCUGUACCCUGGAGGCAAGCUUUCUCACGGGAGGACACAGGCUACAGAGGCUGGAAAAUACUCGUUUCCUAGCUGGUACCCUACUGAGAUUGGAGACUGCUGUACUGCUGAAGAUAAAGCAGUUUUUGUUUUGUUUCUAAAACGACUUGAGCAUCGUGUAUUAAGAUAUCCUAUCACUGUUGUCAGAAAUGGCUAGCAUCCUUUCACGCAUGGGUAACAGCCGGGGGCAGAACUCACCCCUGCCACCUUGGGCUCAUUCCAUGCUGAGGUCCCUGGGGAGGAGUCUUGGUCCUUUAAUGGCCAGCAUGGCAGAGAGAAACAUGAAGCUGUUCUCUGGGAGGGCAGAGCCAGCCCAGGGGGAAGAAACCUUUGAAAACUGGCUGAGCCAAGUAACUGCAGUGCUGCCUGAUUGGCAUAUGCCUGAGGAGGAAAAGGUCAGGCGCCUAAUGAGAACCCUUAGAGGCCCUGCCCGGGAGGUCAUGCGUUUGCUCCAGGCUGCCAAUCCCUGCCUUGAUGUAGAGGAUUUUUUGCGUGCAAUGAAACUGGUCUUUGGGGAGUCUGAGAGCAGUGUGACAGCCC
rnacentral:lncRNA from 1 species